AUGCAGUCGAGCGGACAGAUGGGAGCUUGCUCCCUGAUGUUAGCGGCGGACGGGUGAGUAACACGUGGGUAACCUGCCUGUAAGACUGGGAUAACUCCGGGAAACCGGGGCUAAUACCGGAUGGUUGUUUGAACCGCAUGGUUCAGACAUAAAAGGUGGCUUCGGCUACCACUUACAGAUGGACCCGCGGCGCAUUAGCUAGUUGGUGAGGUAACGGCUCACCAAGGCAACGAUGCGUAGCCGACCUGAGAGGGUGAUCGGCCACACUGGGACUGAGACACGGCCCAGACUCCUACGGGAGGCAGCAGUAGGGAAUCUUCCGCAAUGGACGAAAGUCUGACGGAGCAACGCCGCGUGAGUGAUGAAGGUUUUCGGAUCGUAAAGCUCUGUUGUUAGGGAAGAACAAGUGCCGUUCAAAUAGGGCGGCACCUUGACGGUACCUAACCAGAAAGCCACGGCUAACUACGUGCCAGCAGCCGCGGUAAUACGUAGGUGGCAAGCGUUGUCCGGAAUUAUUGGGCGUAAAGGGCUCGCAGGCGGUUUCUUAAGUCUGAUGUGAAAGCCCCCGGCUCAACCGGGGAGGGUCAUUGGAAAACUGGGGAACUUGAGUGCAUAUCAGGAGAGCGGAUUUCCAUGUGUAUUGGUGCAAAUGCCGUACAAUAUGUGUGAUGAACCUC
rnacentral:rRNA from 2 species